rnacentral:rRNA from 1 species
GGGGGGGGCAAGCGUUGUUCGGAAUUACUGGGCGUAAAGGGCUCGUAGGCGGCCAACUAAGUCGGAUGUGAAAUCCCCAGGCUUAACCUGGGAACUGCAUCCGAUACUGGAUGGCUUGAAUCCGGGAGAGGGAUGCAGAAUUCCAGGUGUAGCGGUGAAAUGCGUAGAUAUCUGGAGGAAUACCGGUGGCGAAGGCGGCAUCCUGGACCGGCAUUGACGCUGAUGAGCGAAAGCUAGGGGAGCAAACGGGAUUAGAUACCCCGGUAGUCCUAGCCCUAAACGAUGAAUGCUUGGUGUGGCGGGUAUCGAUCCCUGCCGUGCCGAAGCUAACGCAUUAAGCAUUCCGCCUGGGGAGUACGGUCGCAAGGCUG